rnacentral:rRNA from 1 species
AUGGACCAGGGGUUUGUGCAGGCCAUCACCAUGGUACGCCGAGGUGCUGCGGGUGUCAAGGAGGACGUCAGUUCUAGCUGCUUAGAUUACUCGAGGCAUGAUUUGAUUCGGUACAAGGGGUUCGUCAUGCCAGGCUCCUCUUUUCUGCUGCUUCCAUGCAACGGUGGUGGCAGCUGUGUUUUUCGGCAUCGGCUACAAAAACAGCCAUGGGCGACCGAGGAAGGCAUGUUGUCUGUUUUCUUGAAGGCCGUUCUGUUUGUUCCCAGCCCUAACUACGGUUGUCCAGCUAGUUCGGCAUGUUGUUCAUAUCACUAUGGUAGUCCAACGAGUUUGGCAUGUUGUAAGUUUGGCAUGUUCAUGACGGGAGCAGGUGCCAGUUUGUGA